rnacentral:rRNA from 1 species
UGGGGAAUUUUGGACAAUGGGCGCAAGCCUGAUCCAGCCAUGCCGCGUGCGGGAAGAAGGCCUUCGGGUUGUAAACCGCUUUGUCAGGGAAGAAAUCUUCUGAGUUAAUACCUCGGGAGGAUGACGGUACCUGAAGAAUAAGCACCGGCUAACUACGUGCCAGCAGCCGCGGUAAUACGUAGGGUGCAAGCGUUAAUCGGAAUUACUGGGCGUAAAGCGUGCGCAGGCGGUUUUGUAAGACAGAGGUGAAAUCCCCGGGCUCAACCUGGGAACUGCCUUUGUGACUGCAAGGCUUGAGUGCGGCAGAGGGGGGAUGGAAUUCCGCGUGUAGCAGUGAAAUGCGUAGAUAUGCGGAGGAACACCGAUGGCGAAGGCAAUCCCCUGGGCCUGCACUGACGCUCAUGCACGAAAGCGUGGGGAGCAAACAGGAUUAGAUCCCUGGUAGUCCACGCCCUAAACGAUGUCAACUGGUUGUUGGGAAGGUUCCUUCUCAGUAACGUAGCUAACGC